UGCGGGGUGGAGCAGUCUGGUAGCUCGUCGGGCUCAUAACCCGAAGGUCAUAGGUUCGAAUCCUGUCCCCGCUACCA
rnacentral:tRNA from 1 species